rnacentral:rRNA from 1 species
CGUAGGGUGCGAGCGUUAAUCGGAAUUACUGGGCGUAAAGCGUGCGCAGGCGGUUUUGUAAGACAGAUGUGAAAUCCCCGGGCUCAACCUGGGACCUGCAUUUGUGACUGCAAGGCUAGAGUACGGUAGAGGGGGAUGGAAUUCCGCGUGUAGCAGUGAAAUGCGUAGAUAUGCGGAGGAACACCGAUGGCGAAGGCAAUCCCCUGGACCUGUACUGACGCUCAUGCACGAAAGCGUGGGGAGCAAACAGGAUUAGACACCCUGGUAGUCCACGCCCUAAACGAUGUCAACUGGUUGUUGGGUCUUUACUGACUCAGUAACGAAGCUAACGCGUGAAGUUGACCGCCUGGGGAGUACGGCCGCAAGGUUG